CUUGCACCCACACCAUCCCCUUAUCCCUACCCUUGGAUGAAUUGAUUCCCAUUCCUCGUCUUCCAAGCUGUACUACCCAUCGAGGGUAGUUGGUACCAAACCCAGAGGGAAUGGGCGAUGGGCUCUGACUUGAUACAGAGAGAAGUGAUACUCGUGGGCUGAUGCGGCAUGGCGAGAGGAGAAAGACACCAGUCCGCGCUGUCGGCCAUCGCACUCACGGAUGAGGCAUCUACAGUUCCAGCAGAGAAUUCGAGUACAACUUUUACCCAUUCGCAGGGAGUGGUGUGGCAGUUGGGUGUGGAUAAAGGGGG
rnacentral:sRNA from 1 species